AGCAGCCGCGGUAAUUCCAGCUCCAAUAGCGUAUAUUAAAGUUGCUGCAGUUAAAAAGCUCGUAGUUGAAUUUCGGGACCAUCAUGUCGGUCGUGCCUAGGUACGUACUGGCAUUGUUGGUUUCUCCUUUCUGACGAACCACGAUGUCAUUUAUUUGGUGUUGUGGGGAAUCAGGACUGUUACUUUGAAAAAGUUAGAGUGUUUAAAGCAGGGUCACGCUUGAAUACAUUAGCAUGGAAUAAUGAAAUAGGACGUUUGAUUCUAUUUUGUUGGUUUCUAGGAUCGACGUAAUGAUUAAUAGGGAUAGUUGGGGGCAUUAGUAUUCAAUUGUCAGAGGUGAAAUUCUUGGAUUUAUUGAAGACUAACUACUGCGAAAGCAUUUGCCAAGGAUGUUUUCAUUAAUCAAGAACGAAAGUUAGGGGAUCGAAGACGAUCAGAUACCGUCGUAGUCUUAACCAUAAACUAUGCCGACUAGGGAUCGGAUGAUGUUAAUUUUUUAAUGUCUCA
rnacentral:rRNA from 1 species